GGGCUAGUAGCUCAGCGGUUAGAGCAUUCGGCUUAUAUCCGAACGGUCGGGGGUUCGAAUCCUCCCUAGCCCA
rnacentral:tRNA from 1 species